rnacentral:rRNA from 1 species
GCAUAUCAAUAAGCGGAGGAAAAGAAACCAACAGGGAUUGCCCUAGUAACGGCGAGUGAAGCGGCAACAGCUCAAAUUUGAAAGCUGGCCUUCGGGUCCGCAUUGUAAUUUGUAGAGGAUGCUUUGGGUGAAACGCCAGUCUAAGUUCCUUGGAACAGGACGUCAUAGAGGGUGAGAAUCCCGUAUGUGACUGGAAAUGUUAACCUAUGUAAAGCUCCUUCGACGAGUCGAGUUGUUUGGGAAUGCAGCUCUAAAUGGGAGGUAAAUUUCUUCUAAAGCUAAAUAUUGGCGAGAGACCGAUAGCGCACAAGUAGAGUGAUCGAAAGAUGAAAAGCACUUUGGAAAGAGAGUUAAAAAGCACGUGAAAUUGUUGAAAGGGAAGCGCUUGCAAUCAGACUUGUUUAAACUGUUCGGCCGGUCUUCUGACCGGUUUACUCAGUUUGGACAGGCCAGCAUCAGUUUCGGCGGCCGGAUAAAGGCUCUGGGAAUGUGGCCUUCACUUCGGUGAAGGUGUUAUAGCCCAGGGUGUAAUACGGCCAGCCGGGACUGAGGUCCGCGCUUCGGCUAGGAUGCUGGCGUAAUGGUUGUAAGCGACCCGUCUUGA